GCCUGCUCUCCCAUAACUCUUCAGAGCACUCCUUAUGCUGGAGCAUGUUCCCGAUUUACUUUGUAACUCAAAGGCACUUAACUAAGUUAUUGCCUCUGAGAUUCUACGAUCCCCUUGGUUGUAGAAUAUCCACUACCUCUAUUAGGUUCAUUGUGCGACUUAGUUGAGGAAGAACCAGGGUAUCUUAAGCUUUUUAGAGUGUGAGAGUUAACCUUAGCAUUUACUCUGCCCUUGAUGGGUAUAACGAAGGGCUGUGAGGACCCAGGUUUGCUGGCUCCUGUGAUGAAGAACAGCACUUUGAAAAGGAAUUCUAGAGUCGGAGCUGGAGGCCUUGCUAUCAGAACCCUUAUUCCUGGUCAAGUAAAGAAGCAACUGUUGAAGCUCGAGGCUGCGUCCGGAUUCUCAGUUUUGUGUCUUUUUGUCUUUGCCCUGGAGAAGGUGGGAGCAGAUGCCCAUCUUGUAGCCUUGGCUACAGUAAAGGCUUGUUGGCUGUUUAUAUCAUCUCUUUAAAGAUAUUUUCCAGAAAGUUGUGGUUUUUCCGAAGUGCAUAUUACAUAUAAAGUGUGAUAGUCAUUUUAUCCCAGCCUGGCCCGUGGAGAAGCUACACUGGACCCUGAAGCAAACAGCGCAAACUGCCAGCUGAGGCACAAUUGACGUCCAGCCAUGCUCCAUGGUUGUAUCAUUAAGAUGCCACAGCUACUGAAUAGAGUCUGAGCUCAAUCCAGGAAACUCCAGCGGUCCAGGAGCAGCAGAUACUGUUGGUAGCUCUCUACUGUCUAGGCACACUCCAUUCCUUUUCUAUGCUCCCUGCUGGCUCUGAAAGGGGGACCUGAGUUUGCUGGAAAAAUCUGCAGAUGACUCUCCAAGAGUGAGGAAGCAUCUACCUGGAAGUGACAUACACAGUAUCUAACUCUGGAAAAAGUAGACUAGAUAGAUCGCAAGAGUAUUGAAAAUUGUCAACCACGUCAAGAACCUUGUACAGAAUGAGAAAUUCACAUCACUAAGCCACAUGUAAUCAUAAUGCUGAAGUUAAAAUCAAUCCAGCCUUAAGUCCUCCAGAUAAU
rnacentral:lncRNA from 1 species